UGGCAAUGCGGGGGAGAUCCAAAAUCCAAAUAACAAAUAACACAGUUACACAUUCUUAGCUAACCCUAGCCCCUAAAAUCAAUUACCUCAAGUAAUCCUCAACCUUCUCCGCCUCUCUGUCUCUGCUCUGAGUGGUCUCGGCUUCUCUGCUUCAGGCCUUCAUCGCUUCCACAGUUCCAUGGCUGACGUCGAAGGGGUCGAACUCCGAUCACUCCCUCACGGCCUCACGCAUUGUCGCACUCUUGCUUUGCAAGCCGACGACACAAACGACUGAAACCAAUCAGUGGUGUCUGCUGUGAGUGGUCUGCAGGGUAAGAUACCAGGUUUUGGAACAAAUGAUCUUGUUAUCACUUCGAUAGUCAUCCUUGGUGCAUUGUUCAGCAUACAACCAUUUGGGUCAAGAAAAGUUGGCUUCACAUUUGCUCGGCUCUUGCUAUCUGGUUCUUUAGUUUUGGGUCGAUUGGAAACAAUGUUUGCUAAUGUAGUAUGUAAAUAGGAUUUCUUUCAAACUUAUGUAUAUGGAAUAUUAAAUGUUUUAAAUUUGAUUAAUUUUAAUUAUGUGUUCAGAGUUA